CCUGGAGGGCGCUGCUCAAGGGGGUGCUCAGCGAUGAGGUCACCACCGCCAGCGGGGAGGGGCGGGGGCGCUGCCCGGCCACCAUCGAGGAGGGCAUCGAGGGGACGGUGGUGUGAGGGGUGGGCGUUGUGGUCAUGGUCAUGGUCAUGGUCAUGGUCAUCAUGGUCAUGGUCAUCAUGGUCAUGGUCAUUGCCAUGGUCAUCAUCGUCAUGGUCAUCACGGUUAUGGUCAUGGUCAUUGUUGUGGUCAUCAUGGUCAUCAUCGUCAUGGUCAUGGUCAUGAUGGUCAUGGUCAUUGCCAUGGUCAUCAUCGUCGUGGUCAUCAUGGUCAUGGUCAUGGUCAUUGUCAUCAUGGUCAUCAUGGUCAUGGUCAUGGGUCAUUGUUGUGGUCAUUGCCAUGGUCAUCAUCAUCACGGUCAUCUUGGUCAUGGUCAUGGGUCAUUGUGGUGGUCAUCAUGGUCAUCAUGGUCAUGGUCAUGGUCAUUGACAUGGUCAUGGUCAUGGUCAUCAUGGUCAUGGUCAUCAUGGUCAUGGUCAUCAUCAUUGUCAUGGUCAUGGUCAUCACAGUCAUGGUCAUCGUCAUCAUUGUCUGUUGGUCAUCUUCAUCAUCGUCAUUGUCAUUAUAUCAUCGUCAUCAUCAAUGUCAUUGUCAUCUUCAUCAUCAUCGUCAUGGUCAUCGUCAUGGUCAUUGUCAUCUUCAUCAUAGUCAUCGUCAUCAUCAUCGUCAUGGUCAUUGUCAUCUUCAUCAUCAUCAUCAUCAUGGUCGGGGUCAUCGACGCUGUGGUGGUCAUCUUCACCAUCGUCAUUGUCAUCAUAGCAUCCUCAUCAUCAACGUCAUCGUCAUUGUCAUCUUCAUCAUCAUCAUCAACGUCAUUGUCAUCUUCAUCAUCAUCGUCAUGGUCAUCGUCAUGGUCAUUGUCAUCUUCAUCAUGGUCAUCGUUAUCAUCAUCGUCAUGGUCAUUGUCAUCAUCAUCAUUGUCAUGGUCGUGGUCAUCUUCAUCAUCAUUGUCAUGGUCAUGGUCGUUGUCAUUGUCACGGUCAUCGUUGCCAUUGUCAUGGUUGUAGUCAUGGUCAUCAUCAUCGUCAUUGUCAUCUUCAUCAUCGUUGGCGUGGUCUUCAUCUUCGUCAUCGUCAUCGUCAAGGG
rnacentral:lncRNA from 1 species